rnacentral:rRNA from 1 species
UUUAUGGAGAGUUUGAUCCUGGCUCAGGAUGAACGCUGGCGGCGUGCCUAAUACAUGCAAGUCGAGCGAACGGACGAGAAGCUUGCUUCUCUGAUGUUAGCGGCGGACGGGUGAGUAACACGUGGAUAACCUACCUAUAAGACUGGGAUAACUUCGGGAAACCGGAGCUAAUACCGGAUAAUAUUUUGAACCGCAUGGUUCAAAAGUGAAAGACGGUCUUGCUGUCACUUAUAGAUGGAUCCGCGCUGCAUUAGCUAGUUGGUAAGGUAACGGCUUACCAAGGCAACGAUGCAUAGCCGACCUGAGAGGGUGAUCGGCCACACUGGAACUGAGACACGGUCCAGACUCCUACGGGAGGCAGCAGUAGGGAAUCUUCCGCAAUGGGCGAAAGCCUGACGGAGCAACGCCGCGUGAGUGAUGAAGGUCUUCGGAUCGUAAAACUCUGUUAUUAGGGAAGAACAUAUGUGUAAGUAACUGUGCACAUCUUGACGGUACCUAAUCAGAAAGCCACGGCUAACUACGUGCCAGCAGCCGCGGUAAUACGUAGGUGGCAAGCGUUAUCCGGAAUUAUUGGGCGUAAAGCGCGCGUAGGCGGUUUUUUAAGUCUGAUGUGAAAGCCCACGGCUCAACCGUGGAGGGUCAUUGGAAACUGGAAAACUUGAGUGCAGAAGAGGAAAGUGGAAUUCCAUGUGUAGCGGUGAAAUGCGCAGAGAUAUGGAGGAACACCAGUGGCGAAGGCGACUUUCUGGUCUGUAACUGACGCUGAUGUGCGAAAGCGUGGGGAUCAAACAGGAUUAGAUACCCUGGUAGUCCACGCCGUAAACGAUGAGUGCUAAGUGUUAGGGGGUUUCCGCCCCUUAGUGCUGCAGCUAACGCAUUAAGCACUCCGCCUGGGGAGUACGACCGCAAGGUUGAAACUCAAAGGAAUUGACGGGGACCCGCACAAGCGGUGGAGCAUGUGGUUUAAUUCGAAGCAACGCGAAGAACCUUACCAAAUCUUGACAUCCUUUGACAACUCUAGAGAUAGAGCCUUCCCCUUCGGGGGACAAAGUGACAGGUGGUGCAUGGUUGUCGUCAGCUCGUGUCGUGAGAUGUUGGGUUAAGUCCCGCAACGAGCGCAACCCUUAAGCUUAGUUGCCAUCAUUAAGUUGGGCACUCUAAGUUGACUGCCGGUGACAAACCGGAGGAAGGUGGGGAUGACGUCAAAUCAUCAUGCCCCUUAUGAUUUGGGCUACACACGUGCUACAAUGGACAAUACAAAGGGCAGCGAAACCGCGAGGUCAAGCAAAUCCCAUAAAGUUGUUCUCAGUUCGGAUUGUAGUCUGCAACUCGACUACAUGAAGCUGGAAUCGCUAGUAAUCGUAGAUCAGCAUGCUACGGUGAAUACGUUCCUGGGUCUUGUACACACCGCCCGUCACACCACGAGAGUUUGUAACACCCGAAGCCGGUGGAGUAACCUUUUAGGAGCUAGCCGUCGAAGGUGGGACAAAUGAUUGGGGUGAAGUCGUAACAAGGUAGCCGUAUCGGAAGGUGCGGCUGGAUCACCUCCUUU